GAGAGGUUAUGUUAGUGGGCAGGUACAGAGAGAGGUUAUGUUAGUGGGCAGGUACAGAGAGAGGUUAUGUUAGUGGGCAGGUACAGAGAGAGGUUAUGUUAGUGGGCAGGUACAGAGAGAGGUUAUGUUAGUGGGCAGGUACAGAGAGAGGUUAUGUCAGUGGGCAGGUACAGAGAGAGGUUAUGUCAGUGGGCAGGUACAGAGAGAGGUUAUGUCAGUGGGCAGGUACAGAGAGAGGUUAUGUUAGUGGGCAGGUACAGAGAGAGAGGUUAUGUUAGUG